rnacentral:rRNA from 1 species
UGGGGAAUAUUGCACAAUGGGCGCAAGCCUGAUGCAGCCAUGCCGCGUGUAUGAAGAAGGCCUUCGGGUUGUAAAGCACUUUCAGCGGGGAGGAAGGCGAUAAGGUUAAUAACCUUGUCGAUUGACGUUACCCGCAGAAGAAGCACCGGCUAACUCCGUGCCAGCAGCCGCGGUAAUACGGAGGGUGCAAGCGUUAAUCGGAAUUACUGGGCGUAAAGCGCACGCAGGCGGUCUGUCAAGUCGGAUGUGAAAUCCCCGGGCUUAACCUGGGAACUGCAUUCGAAACUGGCAGGCUAGAGUCUUGUAGAGGGGAGUAGAAUUCCAGGUGUAGCGAUGAAAUGCGUAGAGAUCUGGAGGAAUACCGGUGGCGAAGGCGGCCCCCUGGACAAAGACUGACGCUCAGGUGCGAAAGCGUGGGGAGCAAACAGG